UGGGGAGGCUCGGGCAAGUAGCUGCGAGGGGUGCGGAGCUAUUGGCCGGGGUUGGGGUAGCCAGGAGGAAAGCAUGGCCAGCCGUAGAGAAAUGCUUAUUGAAACUUUUGAUUAUCAUGGAUUUAUCGGUGGUGACCGUGUCGCCUAGCCUCAGUGCAGUGGGCAGCUGGGAGGAAGUGCUCUUGUUCUCCAUGGACUUUACAGUGUCCCAAAACUUUUGGAGUUAGAGCCACAGGAUGCAAAUUUCUGUUUGAAAAAGCUAGCCUUUGCUUACACACUGACUGUGUGUAUUGGUUCCUGACGUCCCUGAACAAUUGCAUAUUGAGGGGACUACUCGAUGCUCUAUUGCAGUCCGCCACAGGAUGUUUUUGUGCUGGUAAAGGGCAGUCAGGUCUGGAGUGAACCAAGGGCUAUACCUGUUUUUUAUUUUUUUUAUUUUUUUUUUGGAGGGUGGAUCAGCUUAAUAUUGUGGAAAGAAUGUUGCUUCCAAUGUAAUUGUCUGCAUCAUUCCCAAUCUCCCAUAUUGUUUUGGUAAAUAUAUAUAUCCAUACAAGCAUGCAUAUAUAUACACAUACAUAUAUAGACAUACAUACUUUUUAAAAUAAUAUACCUUUAUUAUUAUUCCCCGCAAACCCUACUGCCGAUCCCCCCAAUUGAAGUAAACUAAUAAACUAUUAUGCUUCUACCUUCAAUCCAUACAUCUUAUACACAUUCUACAGAUACAGUCUACUUUACAAUAGUUCUCUCGUGUUUGUUCUUAGUCCUUGCUCUAUUUCUGAUGUCCAUCCAGUUUGAUUUAUAUUUGUAACUGUUCAAUUUCACAAAAGUUCUGAACAUAUAUACAUUUUACAGACCCCGUAUGUUUUACAUUGGUUAUCUUGUUAUUAGUCCCACCCUUCAGCUCCAUUCAACCCCUCCCAUCUGUCUCUUAACAUCAUCCAGUCCCACCCUUCAGCUCCAUUCAACCCCUCCCAUCUGUCUCUUAACAUCAUCCAGUCCCACCCUUCAGCUCCAUUCAACCCCUCCCAUCUGUCUCUUAACAUCAUCCAGUCCCACCCUUCAGCUCCAUUCAACCCCUCCCAUCUGUCUCUCAACACCAUCCAGUCCCACCCUUCAGCUCCAUUCAACCCCUCCCAUCUGUCUCUCAACACCAUCCAGUCCCACCCUUCAGCUCCAUUCAACCCCUCCC
ensembl:lncRNA